AGCGUACACGGUGGAUGCCCUGGCAGUCAGAGGCGAUGAAGGACGUGCUAAUCUGCGAUAAGCGUCGGUAAGGUGAUAUGAACCGUUAUAACCGGCGAUUUCCGAAUGGGGAAACCCAGUGUGUUUCGACACACUAUCAUUAACUGAAUCCAUAGGUUAAUGAGGCGAACCGGGGGAACUGAAACAUCUAAGUACCCCGAGGAAAAGAAAUCAACCGAGAUUCCCCCAGUAGCGGCGAGCGAACGGGGAGCAGCCCAGAGCCUGAAUCAGUGUGUGUGUUAGUGGAAGCGUCUGGAAAGGCGCGCGAUACAGGGUGACAGCCCCGUACACAAAAAUGCACAUGCUGUGAGCUCGAUGAGUAGGGCGGGACACGUGGUAUCCUGUCUGAAUAUGGGGGGACCAUCCUCCAAGGCUAAAUACUCCUGACUGACCGAUAGUGAACCAGUACCGUGAGGGAAAGGCGAAAAGAACCCCGGCGAGGGGAGUGAAAAAGAACCUGAAACCGUGUACGUACAAGCAGUGGGAGCACGCUUAGGCGUGUGACUGCGUACCUUUUGUAUAAUGGGUCAGCGACUUAUAUUCUGUAGCAAGGUUAACCGAAUAGGGGAGCCGAAGGGAAACCGAGUCUUAACUGGGCGUUAAGUUGCAGGGUAUAGACCCGAAACCCGGUGAUCUAGCCAUGGGCAGGUUGAAGGUUGGGUAACACUAACUGGAGGACCGAACCGACUAAUGUUGAAAAAUUAGCGGAUGACUUGUGGCUGGGGGUGAAAGGCCAAUCAAACCGGGAGAUAGCUGGUUCUCCCCGAAAGCUAUUUAGGUAGCGCCUCGUGAAUUCAUCUCCGGGGGUAGAGCACUGUUUCGGCAAGGGGGUCAUCCCGACUUACCAACCCGAUGCAAACUGCGAAUACCGGAGAAUGUUAUCACGGGAGACACACGGCGGGUGCUAACGUCCGUCGUGAAGAGGGAAACAACCCAGACCGCCAGCUAAGGUCCCAAAGUCAUGGUUAAGUGGGAAACGAUGUGGGAAGGCCCAGACAGCCAGGAUGUUGGCUUAGAAGCAGCCAUCAUUUAAAGAAAGCGUAAUAGCUCACUGGUCGAGUCGGCCUGCGCGGAAGAUGUAACGGGGCUAAACCAUGCACCGAAGCUGCGGCAGCGACGCUUAUGCGUUGUUGGGUAGGGGAGCGUUCUGUAAGCCUGCGAAGGUGUGCUGUGAGGCAUGCUGGAGGUAUCAGAAGUGCGAAUGCUGACAUAAGUAACGAUAAAGCGGGUGAAAAGCCCGCUCGCCGGAAGACCAAGGGUUCCUGUCCAACGUUAAUCGGGGCAGGGUGAGUCGACCCCUAAGGCGAGGCCGAAAGGCGUAGUCGAUGGGAAACAGGUUAAUAUUCCUGUACUUGGUGUUACUGCGAAGGGGGGACGGAGAAGGCUAUGUUGGCCGGGCGACGGUUGUCCCGGUUUAAGCGUGUAGGCUGGUUUUCCAGGCAAAUCCGGAAAAUCAAGGCUGAGGCGUGAUGACGAGGCACUACGGUGCUGAAGCAACAAAUGCCCUGCUUCCAGGAAAAGCCUCUAAGCAUCAGGUAACAUCAAAUCGUACCCCAAACCGACACAGGUGGUCAGGUAGAGAAUACCAAGGCGCUUGAGAGAACUCGGGUGAAGGAACUAGGCAAAAUGGUGCCGUAACUUCGGGAGAAGGCACGCUGAUAUGUAGGUGAAGCGACUUGCUCGUGGAGCUGAAAUCAGUCGAAGAUACCAGCUGGCUGCAACUGUUUAUUAAAAACACAGCACUGUGCAAACACGAAAGUGGACGUAUACGGUGUGACGCCUGCCCGGUGCCGGAAGGUUAAUUGAUGGGGUUAGCGCAAGCGAAGCUCUUGAUCGAAGCCCCGGUAAACGGCGGCCGUAACUAUAACGGUCCUAAGGUAGCGAAAUUCCUUGUCGGGUAAGUUCCGACCUGCACGAAUGGCGUAAUGAUGGCCAGGCUGUCUCCACCCGAGACUCAGUGAAAUUGAACUCGCUGUGAAGAUGCAGUGUACCCGCGGCAAGACGGAAAGACCCCGUGAACCUUUACUAUAGCUUGACACUGAACAUUGAGCCUUGAUGUGUAGGAUAGGUGGGAGGCUUUGAAGUGUGGACGCCAGUCUGCAUGGAGCCGACCUUGAAAUACCACCCUUUAAUGUUUGAUGUUCUAACGUUGACCCGUAAUCCGGGUUGCGGACAGUGUCUGGUGGGUAGUUUGACUGGGGCGGUCUCCUCCUAAAGAGUAACGGAGGAGCACGAAGGUUGGCUAAUCCUGGUCGGACAUCAGGAGGUUAGUGCAAUGGCAUAAGCCAGCUUGACUGCGAGCGUGACGGCGCGAGCAGGUGCGAAAGCAGGUCAUAGUGAUCCGGUGGUUCUGAAUGGAAGGGCCAUCGCUCAACGGAUAAAAGGUACUCCGGGGAUAACAGGCUGAUACCGCCCAAGAGUUCAUAUCGACGGCGGUGUUUGGCACCUCGAUGUCGGCUCAUCACAUCCUGGGGCUGAAGUAGGUCCCAAGGGUAUGGCUGUUCGCCAUUUAAAGUGGUACGCGAGCUGGGUUUAGAACGUCGUGAGACAGUUCGGUCCCUAUCUGCCGUGGGCGCUGGAGAACUGAGGGGGGCUGCUCCUAGUACGAGAGGACCGGAGUGGACGCAUCACUGGUGUUCGGGUUGUCAUGCCAAUGGCACUGCCCGGUAGCUAAAUGCGGAAGAGAUAAGUGCUGAAAGCAUCUAAGCACGAAACUUGCCCCGAGAUGAGUUCUCCCUGACUCCUUGA
rnacentral:rRNA from 7 species